rnacentral:rRNA from 1 species
UUUAAAUUUAGAGUUUGAUCCUGGCUCAGGACGAACGCUGGCGGCGUGCUUAACACAUGCAAGUCGAGCGAUGAAGUUUCCUUCGGGAAGCGGAUUAGCGGCGGACGGGUGAGUAACACGUGGGUAACCUGCCUCAAAGUGGGGGAUAGCCUUCCGAAAGGAAGAUUAAUACCGCAUAAUAUGAGAGAAUCGCAUGAUUUUCUUAUCAAAGAUUUAUUGCUUUGAGAUGGACCCGCGGCGCAUUAGCUAGUUGGUAAGGUAACGGCUUACCAAGGCAACGAUGCGUAGCCGACCUGAGAGGGUGAUCGGCCACAUUGGAACUGA